rnacentral:rRNA from 1 species
CCAGACUCCUACGGGAGGCAGCAGUGGGGAAUAUUGCACAAUGGGGGAAACCCUGAUGCAGCGACGCCGCGUGAGCGAUGAAGUAUUUCGGUAUGUAAAGCUCUAUCAGCAGGGAAGAAAAUGACGGUACCUGACUAAGAAGCCCCGGCUAACUACGUGCCAGCAGCCGCGGUAAUACGUAGGGGGCAAGCGUUAUCCGGAUUUACUGGGCGUAAAGGGAGCGUAGACGGCGGUGCAAGCCAGAUGUGAAAGCCCGGGGCUCAACCCCGGGACGGCAUUUGGAACGGUGCUGCUAGAGUGUCGGAGAGGCAGGCGGAAUUCCUAGUGUAGUGGUGAAAUGCGUAGAUAUCAGGAGGAACACCGGUGGCGAAGGCGGCCUGCUGGACUGCAACUGACGUUGAGGCCCGAAAGCGUGGGGAGCAAACAGGAUUAGAUACCCCGGUAA